GAGGACGAGGUGGAGGAGGACGAGGUGGAGGCGGAGGGAGAGGUGGAUUCAAAUCAAGGAGCUGAGCAGUGUUCGGUCGUCUCCUGUAGCUUGUGGAUGUUCUGCGUUCUUCAUGUACCUCAGUUAGAUGUGUUUAAUAAAGAUGUCUUUAAUAAAGUGUUUGGUAAAGA